UGGGGAAUUUUGGACAAUGGGCGAAAGCCUGAUCCAGCAAUGCCGCGUGUGUGAAGAAGGCCUUCGGGUUGUAAAGCACUUUUGUCCGGAAAGAAAUCCUUGGCUCUAAUACAGUCGGGGGAUGACGGUACCGGAAGAAUAAGCACCGGCUAACUACGUGCCAGCAGCCGCGGUAAUACGUAGGGUGCAAGCGUUAAUCGGAAUUACUGGGCGUAAAGCGUGCGCAGGCGGUUUGCUAAGACCGAUGUGAAAUCCCCGGGCUCAACCUGGGAACUGCAUUGGUGACUGGCAGGCUAGAGUAUGGCAGAGGGGGGUAGAAUUCCACGUGUAGCAGUGAAAUGCGUAGAGAUGUGGAGGAAUACCGAUGGCGAAGGCAGCCCCCUGGGCCAAUACUGACGCUCAUGCACGAAAGCGUGGGGGAGCAAACAGGAUUAGAUACCCUGGUAGUCCCACGCCCUAAAACGAUGUCAACUA
rnacentral:rRNA from 1 species